GUGGGGAAUUUUGGACAAUGGGCGCAAGCCUGAUCCAGCAAUGCCGCGUGCAGGAAGAAGGCCUUCGGGUUGUAAACUGCUUUUGUACGGAACGAAACGGUCCUGGUUAAUACCCGGGGCUAAUGACGGUACCGUAAGAAUAAGCACCGGCUAACUACGUGCCAGCAGCCGCGGCAAUACGUAGGGUGCAAGCGUUAAUAGGAAUUACUGGGCGUAAAGCGCGCGCAGGCGGUGCUGUAAGACAGGCGUGAAAUCCCCGGGCUUAACCUGGGAAUUGCGCUUGUGACUGCAGUGCUGGAGUGCGGCAGAGGGGGAUGGAAUUCCGCGUGUAGCAGUGAAAUGCGUAGAUAUGCGGAGGAACACCGAUGGCGAAGGCAAUCCCCUGGGCCUGCACUGACGCUCAUGCACGAAAGCGUGGGGAGCAAACAGGAUUAGAUACCCCGGUAGUCC
rnacentral:rRNA from 1 species